AAUUAAUUUUUGCCGAAUUUCUUAACAGAAAACGGGGGAACCACUUUUGGGUGAAUUAUUCUUUUCGUAAAAAAGAAUAUAGGGAACCUUCUACCGAACCCUCAGCUAACUCCGUAGGCAUCGAAGGGAGACUAC
rnacentral:sRNA from 2 species